rnacentral:ncRNA from 17 species
UUACUUAGGUGAUCGUAGAAAUUGCUUUCUUACCUGGGCCCUUGAAAGCAAUGGAGAUAGUAGGGCACCCACCACCUUACAAA